GAGAUGUGGCUCAGUGGUAGAGUGCUUGCCUAGCGUUCAUGAGGCUUUGGGUUCAAUCCUCAGUCACA
rnacentral:tRNA from 1 species